GUGGACUAGUGGUUAGAGCGUCCGCCUCUGAUGCGGGAGGUCAUGGGUUCGAUCCCGACUGACUCA